rnacentral:rRNA from 1 species
GAUGAACGCUGGCGGCGUGCCUAAUACAUGCAAGUCGAGCGAAUGGAUUAAGAGCUUGCUCUUAUGAAGUUAGCGGCGGACGGGUGAGUAACACGUGGGUAACCUGCCCAUAAGACUGGGAUAACUCCGGGAAACCGGGGCUAAUACCGGAUAACAUUUUGAACCGCAUGGUUCGAAAUUGAAAGGCGGCUUCGGCUGUCACUUAUGGAUGGACCCGCGUCGCAUUAGCUAGUUGGUGAGGUAACGGCCCACCAAGGCAACGAUGCGUAGCCGACCUGAGAGGGUGAUCGGCCACACUGGGACUGAGACACGGCCCAGACUCCUACGGGAGGCAGCAGUAGGGAAUCUUCCGCAAUGGACGAAAGUCUGACGGAGCAACGCCGCGUGAGUGAUGAAGGCUUUCGGGUCGUAAAACUCUGUUGUUAGGGAAGAACAAGUACGAGAGUAACUGCUCGUACCUUGACGGUACCUAACCAGAAAGCCACGGCUAACUACGUGCCAGCCGCCGCAGUAA